GAUACGUUAGCAAAGUCAGUCUAUUGAGCCUCAGUUUUCUCAUCUGUAAAUGGUAUGAUACCUCACAGAAUUGUGAAGAAGUGAGCAAACAUAAGUGAAAGCACCUGUCACAUUGCAGGCACUGAGUAGGGGUUUAAGAAAUGAGUUUCCUUCCCCUUGCUCUCCAUUUACAAUCAAUUUGUAGCUACCAAUUUCAACAUUGCACUCUCAAACUUUUCUUUGAAUGUUUCAAUCAAAAUGAAAAUGAUCAGAAGCUUUCUAAAUCCUCCCCUUAUUUUUAGUUCGUAUUUUGGAAAGCACUUGUGGGGAUACAGAGAUGAAAAAGUCGUGGUUCUUUCCCUCAAGGACCCUAAAAUGUAUAAUUGGAAAAGAUAAGUAGAAAGGAUAACAGGUACACAACUGCAAUACAAGAUAUGUCAGGUAUCAUAACAAAAGGCUUAGGUCUGGAAGAGAAUGAGGACACUGGGAAAAUCAGGAGCGGCUUCCUGAAGAAGAUGGCAUUUAAGUUGGCCAUGCAGGAUGGGUAGGAUUUUAGCAGAAAUGUGGAAAGGGGAACUGUGUAGUGGAGAAAGGGCCACAAGUGAAGAUAUGAAUGCCAGAAAGUGCAGGAGAUGGGUACAGUCAGCAAAGAAUAUGUGUAGAAGAGUAGGUUGGGAAGACAGCGUGAGUCAUUUUAUAAUGAUUAUUAAUCGCAGAUGGGGAUAGUAAGUCAUGACUAAGCUUAUUUUUAAGAAAUUUAAUCUGGCAGAGGUGAAUAUGAUGAAUUGUAUGGGAAGAUACUACCCAAAAUUGCUAACUGAAUUGCCAUUGCAAUUGGCUGGGUGUAGGUAAGGAAGCCCUUUUAUGACUUAAGGCAGUGGAAAUAACGAAAACACGACUGAUUUGAGGUUGCUAAAUUAACAUUCUACAAUGUGUGUUUACGUUUCAAAAAGUAGCUUAGAAAGUUUAACCUGACAAGAUUACACAUCUGUGAAGCCGAUAAACCGGGAUUCUUAUUCCCACCAUACCCGGCAAAUUAAUGGUCACUUUGGCCCCAGUUCCACUAUCAAGUUUGUAAGAUAUUAACCGCAGUGGGGAAGGGUUGGGGGAAUAGACCUUGCUCAGAAAGCAGAGCUCAGAAAAGUAUGCUAGGCAGGGCAAGAGCAGCCGUCAGAUGGGUGUGCUGAGUAUGUCCCACAAUAGGUGGGUAAGUGGCAAAGGAGUGAGGUGUCUUGGGGUCCAAUUUGUGCGCGUGGAGUGAGACAGAAAACCCGGAGUCCAAUUUCCCGGCUAACGAGUCCCUCCUUCUGGGCGGGCGGCUACAGACUGGUAGCAGGUUGCCUGGCCUGCGGCAAGCCAGGCGUACCUACCCCUUCUCCGCGCGCCCCUCCCAGCGCCUGCGCGUUACCGGCUGCCCGCCGGCGCUCCCGCCCCUAGGUGAUUCUGCGGCUCACUCCCCUUGGAUGGUGUUUCCACCCGGGUGUUUCCCGGGAAGAGGCUCUCACGACUAGCCAUGCAGGAGGAGAGUCGAACUCUGGAUAGCCUGUUUAUAAAGGCCUAACUAUGCUGAUGUUGACCGUUUUCUGAAACUCCUCCUCCAAAACCCACGCCAAACCGCAGGAUGAAGGAAUUCCUCAGUGAAUAUCAGGAUGCCAAAAAGCAUGGAAGACUUCUGAUGUUCUGGGAGAGUUGACAAAGAUGGACCUUAAAUUCUAGAAUUUAGGCAUUCAUGGUUGAGACCCUGAAGAAAACAUUUUCUGCUGAGCAGAAGCAAUUUAAUAAUUGCCUCCCUUCCUUUCAGAAUCCAGAAGUGUCUGAAGCCAGCCAAAGAGGGAAUGUUUGAUGGAAAGAAGUUGGAAUGGAAGGAGAAAAUGGCUUAUUUUAGUUAAAAUGUUUUACUUUUGGAAAUUGUUUAAAAAAAACUUAUUUUCACAUAUACAUAAAUACAUUGUUAGGAGCCCUCCCGGGCCAUAGAAGUGGCCUGCACAGACAUCUGGUUUUAAAGUGGCAGUACAGAAGCAAGCUGGUUUCACUCUCCCCACAGAAAACCAAGAAUUUGUAGAGCUAUGAUUUUCCCCAGCAACAGUCCAGAACUCAAAUAUGAGGAUGAGACAGAUCCUAGGGCCAUAAAGACAAAAAACCUUCUUUGGAAAAAAACUCCAAGCAGGUGUUAAGGUCGAUCACAGGACUUCUAAUCACACACUGAGAAAGCAAAAGCAUCACUGCAGGAAAUCCCUUUAAACUUUUGCCUUACGGCAGAUGGACAUAUGCUAAAAGGUGUUGAACACAUGAAAUAAGUGCUGUAAAAAUCUACUAAACAAAUAAAAAUAAUUACAUUGCAAAUGCUUUUUUCCUUAGAGCACUUGUCUUAAGAAAUAUAUUUCUGGAAUACAAGCUAGAAGUGGCUUUGUCCUGCUACUCAGGGUUAAAGGCAAACGGAAGGUCUCCAGCCUUUGGUAUGACAUGUGACAGUGAAUAACAAAAAGAAGGCCUUGAGUUUUUUGAUAGUUAGGCAUAUUUUCAUUAUAAUGAUAUCCAGAUAUGUGAUAUAUCUGAUAUAUAAUACACAUAUAGACACAUAUAUGUCUCUCUCCAUAUUUUUAUAUAGGUAGAUUUUAUUAUAUGUCACAUCUGUAUAUAACUAUAAUGAAAGUCUCAAUUGUUACCUCAAUAACCUUUAACCCUAAUUUGACUACAAUAUUUAAAACUUCAGUCUCACUACCAGAACACACCCUGACACUUCUGAUUCUAUUUUGCUUUAUGUUUUGUAUAUUGUUUGUCAUCUUUUAACAUAGGAGUUAUUUAUUUAUUAUGUUUAUUAUUUAUUGUCCUCUCUCUCCAUUGAAGAGAAAUAAUUUUUGAUUCCUUAAUGAAAACAUUUCUCACAUUAUCAGUUUUUUAAUUUACAAAAUAUCUCAAUGUCAAUAUAUCCACUUCAAAUAUAUGUGUGUUA